rnacentral:rRNA from 1 species
UACGUAGGUGGCAAGCGUUGUCCGGAAUUAUUGGGCGUAAAGCGCGCGCAGGCGGUUCUUUUAAGUCUGAUGUGAAAGCCCACGGCUCAACCGUGGAGGGUCAUUGGAAACUGGGGAACUUGAGUGCAGAAGAGAAGAGCGGAAUUCCACGUGUAGCGGUGAAAUGCGUAGAGAUGUGGAGGAACACCAGUGGCGAAGGCGGCUCUUUGGUCUGUAACUGACGCUGAGGCGCGAAAGCGUGGGGAGCAAACAGG